UACGUAGGGUGCAAGCGUUGCCCGGAUUUAUUGGGCGUAAAGGGCGCGUAGGCGGCCCGGCGCGUCCGCGGUGAAAGCUCCCGGCUCAACUGGGAGAGGUCCGCGGAGACGGUCGGGCUCGAGCAAGGUAGGGGGUCGUGGAAUUCCCGGUGUAGUGGUGGAAUGCGUAGAGAUCGGGAGGAACACCAGCGGCGAAGGCGGCGUCCUGGACUGGUACUGACGCUCAGGAGCGAAAGCGUGGGGAGCGAUCCGG
rnacentral:rRNA from 1 species